GAUCGUCUGAAAAGCUCUCUGGAUCUUAACUCCACCCUAAUUCUCCUGGGGAUCGAACCCAUGACCUUCCUAUCUUGGUAAAUCCAGAAGAACUCUAAUUUCAUCUUCAGUGGGACUCGAACCUGAAGCUUUUGGAUUGUGGGCUGACUCACAGACCACUGAGCCACCAAGACUACAGUACACGCAUAUGGUUUUGUUAAUUGUGUCUGUUUUAUUCCAGGUUAAACGUCAUCUAAAGAAGGAAUCAAACUCUGCAACUCUGUCCAUGAGCUGAUGAUCAGACCACUGCGCCACUGAUGUGCUCACACUAGCUAUUAAUGCCUAGUAUUUGAAUAACCCCCGCCGCUGCGCUGCGCUGCUCGCUCUCCGCCACUAGAUGGCAGUAUUACACCACAGAUCACCGCUUCUCCUCAGCAUUAAACGGUCAAACCUCAUCUGAAGGAGAAAUCAAAGAUCACAGGCUGAUGUGCUCACACUUUCUGCUGUUUUGGGUCAUCCUGCCUUUUCUAUUCCAGGUAAACAUCAUGUAAAGGAGGAAGCAAAGCUGUGAAUUCCCCAAUCAUGAGCUGCUGUUCACAGCACUGAGCUGCUGAUGCUCUCUUGCAUCAUGUUAAACCUUAUCUGCUUCAUAUCUCAGGCUGAUGUUCAGACCACGGACACACUCAACUGAUUUUUGCUAAUUUUGUCUGUUUAUUCCAGUUAAACCAGUAGAAGGUCAUCUACAGAGAGACUCAAACCUGCAUCUGUCAUAUCAGGGCUCUGCUGUUGUCCACUGAUGCUUGCAGAGCCGUGAGCCGCUGCUUUGGUUUUGGGUAGAGCUUUUACAAAUGUUGCCUGAGCUCAAAACCUGAACCCUCGCUCUCCUCCUGUU
rnacentral:lncRNA from 1 species